UACUAAUAAUAACUUCACGUUGCACGGGUUUAAAUUGUGUACUUUUACCAAUUAUUAUUUCUUGGAAAAGUUGUAUAAUAGACUCUAAAAAUGCAACAGAUUCUUCAAAUUUUUUUUUUUUAAAUUCAUCACUUGGAGUUUGCCUCAAUGCAACUUUUUGAGUUUGUGAGGUUAUUAACGCAAACCAUAGACAUAGGAUCUAUAGACCUUCGAGGAGUGGAGGCGUGAAAAACUAGAAAGAGAUAGCAAGCUUUGGACCACUAUUCUGUCUUUGUCUAAUGACGCACGUGGGAAAUCUUCACUUGUUUUACAAGUGAGGACUCCAGCUAACCUAAGUAAAGUAAUAUAAUCUAAGUAAAAAAUAACAUUAAAGUCAGCACAAUGAGUUGAUAUUGUUGUGUGUGCCACAAUGAACAAUAUAAAACUGAUGAGCCUAUUAUUUUCCAUUGUUUUCCAGAUCAGAUCCAGAUACACGAAAAAAGUGGUUAAAAAUCAUAAAAUGCGAUCGAAGGCAACUUUUGAGAAAAGAUGCUGUCCCAAAUAUAAAUAUUCUUCAAUUAGAUGCAAAAGUUCAGCUUAUUAGAAAUGAGAAACACUAAAUUUAAAACUACACUAAUUUUGAAGAAGCAAUAUCAAGAUGAGAUAAAAUAAACUUUUUAAAUCAUCACUAUCUUGAGACCCACUGAGGAGAAUUUUACAAAUUUUACAUGACAAAUGACUCUUGCGCCUUAUCUACAACACCAACAAAAAGACAUUGCACUUUACAGGAGUUUUGGGCUUUUUAGAAGAGAAGAUUUUACAGAUGAAAUUGUAUGGAAUCGAUUUGUGGCAGUAUGCAAAGGCUUAAGAAAAGAAAACAUGCUUUUGUAAUAUAAAAAUAAGCGUCUUCUUAAUCAAAUUCAAACAACAAAAGAUAUUAUUCAGGAGUUAAAAAAAAAGAACUUAAUAACAGAUUCUGUAUCAGAGAUGUUGAGCGUAAGUUAAGAAAACGAUGGUCCACAUUCUGAUCUUUUUAUCGCUAAGAG